rnacentral:rRNA from 1 species
UACGUAGGGUGCAAGCGUUGUCCGGAAUACUGGGCGUAAAGCGUGCGCAGGCGGCUUUGCAAGACAGAUGUAAAAUCCCCCGGGCUCAACCUGGGAACUGCAUUUGUGACUGCACGGCUAGAGUACGGUAGAGGGGGAUGGAAUUCCGCGUGUAGCAGUGAAAUGCGUAGAUAUGCGGAGGAACACCGAUGGCGAAGGCAAUCCCCCUGGACCUGUACUGACGCUCAUGCACGAAAGCGUGGGGAGCAAACAGG